rnacentral:rRNA from 1 species
AUGGAGACUGCCAGCUCCCUCGCGUUCAAGAGAAGAACCUACGGCCUCUGUUUUCGCUGCUUGGCGUCGGAGCAUCUCGUCGCUGAUUGUCGCGGUCCUGUCAGAUGCCUGGCAUGUGGCCUCCCAGGCCAUCGUGAACGUGGUUGUCCCUCGCGCCAGCCAACGGUGGAAGGUCACCGCCUCCGUCCUCGCUCGCCUACGGCUUCACCGUGUCAUUCGAGGGACCUGCCGGGCUGCCAGGCUCCUCGCCACUUCAACAGCUCGACUCAUGGAUCUCCACAUCCGCAUCGAUGCACCUGGGCCUCGGUUGUUGCCCCUCCGACGGUGGCGAAUCCCAGCGAUUCUGUUGUUGCUGAUUUGGGAUUGCUCGAACCUCUCCUUGCUGCUCAGAUGGAAGUGUUGCGCUCCGAGAUGCAGGCCUUGACCGUCUCACGUUUGGAGGAGGUGGUCCGACCCCUUCAUGACAUGAUGACUGCUUUGGAGGGGUGGACGACUCUACUCCGGGGAUACUUGGAGCGAAUGGAGGUUGUUGUUGGCCAGCUAGGCUACUCGCCGGCCUCGCCACAGUCGUCUGAGAUGCAUAUUGCAGGUUCUGUUGGGAAUGUUGCUGGUGUUGAGGAUUUCAUCGAGAGUGAUGUGGCUAGCUGCUCGUCUGAGGUCCUAGCUUCUGUUGCGCACCUUAGGGACGCGACCCCUGUUUUGGUCUCGUCUCUGCCCAUGGAGGAGCAAGCUGAAGCCGGUGGGACUGUGGCAUGCGUGGAGGCUGCUCUUUGCAGGCUCCCGACUGUGCCUCUUAUGUCCUCGUUGCUCGAGCUCCAGGUUGGUUCUGCGGAUGGGAGGGAAGCAUGCAUGUAUGGAUGUUUCUCCCCUCGUGCCGCUCUCUGUACAUCGCCACUACCUGUCAUGCCAAGUGACUCUGGGAGUGAGGUCGUCAUCGAGGGCGUGACUCCGGUGCUACAAUGUAUGCCUGAGUUGUAG